UACGAAGGGGGCUAGCGUUGCUCGGAAUCACUGGGCGUAAAGCGCACGUAGGCGGAUUGCUAAGUCAGGGGUGAAAUCCUGGAGCUCAACUCCAGAACUGCCUUUGAUACUGGCGAUCUUGAGUCCGGGAGAGGUGAGUGGAACUGCGAGUGUAGAGGUGAAAUUCGUAGAUAUUCGCAAGAACACCAGUGGCGAAGGCGGCUCACUGGCCCGGUUCUGACGCUGAGGCGCGAAAGCGUGGGGAGCAAACAGG
rnacentral:rRNA from 1 species